rnacentral:rRNA from 1 species
UUUGAACGCUGGCGGCAGGCCUAACACAUGCAAGUCGAGCGAGCGGCGGACGGGUGAGUAAUGUAUGGGGACUGCCCGAUAGAGGGGGGUAACUCCUUGAAAACGUGGCUAAUACCCCAUACUGCCGGCUUACCCAGAUGGGCUUAGCUAGUAGGUAAGGUAAUGGCUUACCUAGGCGACGAUCCCUAGCUGGUCUGAGAGGAUGAUUCGCCACACUGGGACGGAGACACGGCCCAGACUCCUACGGAGGCAGAAGUGGGGAAUAUGGCACAAUGGGCGCAAGCCUGAUGCAGCCAUGCCGCGUGUAUGAAGAAGGCCCUAGGGUUGUAAAGUACUUUCAGUAGGGAGGCGUUACCUACAGAAGAAGCAACGGCUAACUCCGUGCCAGCAGCCGCGGUAAUAC